AUUGAACGCUGGCGGCAGGCCUAACACAUGCAAGUCGAACGAGUGGCGGACGGGUGAGUAAUGUCUGGGAAACUGCCCGAUGGAGGGGGAUAACUACUGGCAACGGUAGCUAAUACCGCAUACCAUCGGAUGUGCCCAGAUGGGAUUAGCUAGUAGGUGGGGUAACGGGUCACCUGGGCGACGAUCCCUAGCUGGGCUGAGAGGAUGACCAGCCACACUGGAACUGAAACACGGUCCAUACUCAUACGGGAGGCAGCAGUGGGGAAGAUUGGACAAUGGGCUCAAGCCUGAUGCAGCCAUGCCGGGUGUAUGAAGAGGGCCUUCGGGUUGGAAAGUACUUUCAGCUGGGAGGCGUUACCAGCAGAAGAAGCACCGGCUAACUCCGUGCCAGCAGCCGCGGUAAUAC
rnacentral:rRNA from 1 species